CACUCCUGUGGUAUAUGAAGAUUCCCAGGCUAGGGGUCGAAUCAGAGCUACAGCUGCCAGUCUACACCACAGCCACAGCAACACCAGAUCUGAGCCGCAUCUGUGACAUACACCACAGCUCAUGGCAAAGCCGGAUCCUUAACCCACUGAGCAAGGCUAGGGAUGGAACCCUCAUCCUCAUGGAUACUAGUCAGGUUCGUUACUGCUAAGCCACGCCGGCAGCUACAUGGUAUUUUUUUAGAGUUCCACAUUAGUUCUGGCAGAUGGAAAUUAUAUCCCCAUAGCACUGAUUUUAACACCAAGGCUUAGAGAGAUGUUAAGUAGCUUUUCUGAGGAUACACAGCAUGGAGCCUGGGUUAGGACCUGGGUCUGCCUGACUCAAGCUCAGGGUAUCAUGACAUAGCGAGCCAGCAGCGGGCCUCCAGUGUACAGUGAUUGGAUUCCAGCUUGGGCCAUUGACUGAGGCUGCGAGUACCCUCUGAAGGCCAAUAAAGGAUGGAGCCCUCUGCCUAGCCUCUGACCACUGGCUUGGGAUGAAUUAACUCAAUCCACUUGGAAGGGAGGAUGACCUUGACCGGCCUUGAGGAUGUCAGAUAACUCUCAUCUUUUCACCCUCCGCCCCCCUGGCCCUUCACUCUGAGUCACCACUUGAGCUCAGCAAGGAUCCAUUCAGCAAGUGUGAAGGAGAAGAGAGUGAGUGCUGCAGGGAGGGAGGGGCAGGGCACCAGGAAGAACAGGAGGGGGAGGAAGGAGGGACAGAACAGGGGACGAGGAACCAAAGGCAGAGAGAGCUCUGCCCUCGGAGGAUGCUCCCAGGACCAUGACCAACAUCACCUCCUGGGUCUCCCUCUUCGUGAAAGCAGAAGCCUUGUCUCCUCUUUCUUUUGAACUGGCCAAAGGUCGAGCACAGAGCAACGCACAGAAGAUGCUUGUUGGUUGGGUUUUCUUUACUAGGAGCACAGAGUGGAGGUGGCAACAGUCUCCAACAGGCAUCCCCAGGGCCACAGAUGAUGGUCUCGGGAUAAGGUCUCACUUGGUCCUUGUGAAAAGGAUGUAAGGGCUCCAGACAGUAGAGAGGCAGCAUUAAGAAGGUGUUUCCAGUCAAGCAAGCAGGCGUGGACUGCUUUCACAGAGUCAGAGGUCCAAAAGAGAGGAGGCCAUAGCCUUGCUUGUCUCUGCCGAGAAAAGCCAGCUCAGGAGCGGCUUUUGUGGUAAGUGCUUUAGAGGGUUUCAGACAGAGAAGGGUGACCGGGAUGCAGACCGAUUUCAAUGAUGGCACAGGAGAGACAGGAACAGAACUGGGCAUGUUUAGCCAAUAGAAGACUUCCGGGAGCAAACUAUCUAACAUUUGAAGAGCCAUGAGAGAAUGGACUUGACCAUUUGGCCCAUAAAGUGUGGAAUUCAGGCUUUUGCUGGAAACUGCAGGAAAAAAGAUGAUUUGGGCCCCAUGUGAGGACCCAGAAGUGAGGGCUGAGAAGCAUGCCAUGUGGCAGAACUUCCUGACCUUGUUCACAGCACAGCUCACACAGAAACUGAUCACAUCUGUAUCACUCCCGGGGGGCCAAGGAACAGACGAGGCUGCCCAAAGCCACAGGUGACUGGUGAUGGGACUCUGACCACCCACGUGGCAGCUGAGGAAAAUUCACAAAAUGUGCCUGAUGGGAGUUACACUGAAGGUGCUCUGCUGUAGGUGUAGUGAGCUUCCAGUCACUGGAGGUGUGCAAGUAAAGACUGGAUGAGGGUUGAGAGGAGAAAGGCUGCUGCAGAAAGGGUUCCAGGCUUAGAAAGCAAGUUGGUCCCUUUGAGCUCAGAGCUCCCAAGCUUCUAGACCUCCCGGGAGGACCUGCAGAGGGAGGCACAGGGGCUCCCUGCACAUGUACAGAUCCGAGUCCUCCUCCUGCAAUUCCGAGAGCAGGGGGUUUCGACAUCAGCCAGCCCCUCACAAUGAUGACCCGUAGGAGACGCAAGUGACCCUGGGGUACGACUAUCCAAUCAGCCUCCCACCCCUGCGUGGGAUGAGGCCUCCAGAUGGACUGAUGAAAAACACCCAAAUUGAGUUCAAUUGAGCAGAAGAAAGGAGGAUGGAUCCCAUUCAUUAUCCCUAGUGAGACCCUCAUGCAUCAUCCCAAACAGAGCAGUGCUACUUCAGACAGACAAUGGCAAUUAGUGGUCCAGGACUUUGAUGUUGUCAAAAUAAAGAUCCAUGCUAUGCUCACAGAGUGUGAGAUCACGAGAUGGCUCCAGCUUGGCCCAGUGAGACUGUCUCAGCACAGCUGGUAGGAGGGCGUGGACUGCAGAGCCAGACAGCCCUGGGCUUUACAACUACUGGCUAUGUGACCUUGGGCCAAUUACUUGGCCUCUCUGAUCCUUUACCUCCUCAGCCGUAAAGCAGGUUGGAUAGAUCUCAAUUUACAGGCUUGUUAAAAGGGUUUCAUGAGCUAGCGUGUGGCAUUGCCAUGGACACCCUGUGUUACCUUGAAAAAGUUAACUGCAUUCUUGAAGCCCCAGUGUCUACCUCUAGAAAAUGUCCAUAGAUCACUAAGGUUCUUCAGGCCUUAAGGUCUUUUUUUCUUUUGCUUUGCUUUGCUUAUUUUAUUUUAUUAUUAUUAUUUUUUCAGGCUGCACCUGCAGAUUAUGGAAUUUCUCGAGCAAGGGGUCGAAUCGCAGCUGCAGCUGCCAGCCUACACUACAGCCAUAGCAACACAGGAUCCCAGCCAGAUCCUAAACCCACUGAGUGAGACCAGGGAUGGAACCUGCAUCCUAAUGGAUACUAGUCAAGUUCUUAACCCACUGAGCCACUAUGGGAACUCCAGCCUUAAGGUCUUGCACUCUAGUUCUUGGGAACUUGCAGUAAAGAAAAGCCACUAUGGAGUUCCCACUGUGGCACAGUGGGUUAAGGAUCUGUGUUGUCACAGUGGUGGCCAAAAAAAAGAAAAGAAAAGAAAAGCCACUGGUCCUUGGAACUUGGUACCUCUCUGCCUCCUUCAACACCAAACUCACUCCCUCAAGUGUCCCCAGGUCACUUCCCCUCUCACUCCUCACCCCCCGUCAAACCCAGACACCAACUUUGCAAUCUUACAAGACCCAGAACCCACCAGCUUUUGCUUCAAGAAGGAUUUCAGUGUCCCCAGUCAGGUGCCCUCCACCUCUGCCCUCCACAAAAGAUAGCCCACGCCUUGGAAGAUAAAAAGCCACUAAUUGUUUCCCUUUCUCUUUCUAUAUUGAUUAGGAGAGUACAAGGCUACUGGAGUUUCAUCGACAGCCAGCUGGCUCUCUUGCCUGGGGUAGAUGGUCUUUUACAAAACAGAGAGAAAGAGAAAAACUCUGUUGGGUCAUGAAGUCAGAGGCCAGGUGAGGGGUGGACUGGGUGGCUGGACAAGGUGGCGGUAUGGUUCCGCCUUUCUGGGACGGGCCUCAGGGAUCACACCUGCCCACCUCCAGCCCAGCCCAGGUGUAGAAGGGGAGGCCAGUGGAUUCGCACAUCUUUCUGAACCGACACGCUCCGCUGCCCCCUUCAUGCGCACUGGGUCUCAUCGGUUCCUUCUCCUAAUCCCAGCUGCACCCUUCUCCAUCCUGCAGAGUGACCCAGGAGGCCCAUCACCAAGGACUGCAUCACACAUGCACCCCUGCUCUCCAGCUUCCAUCUGAGUUCAUCAGAGGAAACACUGGCCAGGGACUGAAGCUGGGAGGGGAAGAGCCAUUGGGGUAUUUACUCCCGGCUCCCUCCCCGAUUCUAUUAAGGCCAUGACUCCUGCAGCUGCAGCUGCCUCUCAGCCUGGAUGGUAAAACUGUAUCCCCACGGCUCUGCCCUGGGGUGUGUUACCAUCCUUGCUUGGUUUUCCUUAGCUCUGCCUACACUCUGCCAAUAGCUCCUUCAUCAGAUGCUCCCCUCUUUUCUUCUUUUUCAGCCACACCUUAGGCUUAUGGAAGUUCCCAGGCCAGGCCAACAACCCAAUUGAAAAAUGGGCAAAAGACCUGAAUAGACAUUUUUCCAAGGAAGAUGUACAGAUGGCCAACAAGCACAUGACACAAUGCUCAACAUUCCUGAUUAUUAGAGAAAUGCAAAUCAAAACUACCAUGAGAUACCACCUCACACCAGUCAGAAUGGCCAUCAUUAAUAAGUCCACAAAUAACAAAUGCUGGAGGAGGUAUGGAGAAAAAGGAACCCUCCUGCACUGUUGGUGGGAAUGUAAGAUGGUAUAACCACUAUGGAGAUCAGUAUGGAGGUACCUUAGAAAUCUAUACCUAGAACUACUAUAUGACCCAGCAAUCCCACUCUUGGGCAUAUAUCCAGACAAAACUUUCCUUAAAAAAGACACAUGUACCCGCAUGUUCAUUGCAGCUCUAUUCACAAUAGCCAAGACAUGGAAACAACCCAAAUGUCCAUCGACAGACUAUUGGAUUAGGAAGAUGUCGUAUAUAUACACAAUGGAAUACUACUCAGCCAUAAAAAAAAUGAAAAAAAUGCCAUUUGCAGCAACAUGGAUGGAAUUAGAGACACUCAUACUGAGUGAAGUAAGUCAGAAAGAGAAAGACAAAUACUGUAUGAUAUCACUUAUAUCUGGAAUCUAAUAUAGGGCACAAAUGACCAUUUCCACAGAAAAGAAAAUCAUGGACUUGCAGAAUAGACUUGUGGUUGCCAAGGGGAAGAGGGAGGGAGUGGGGUGGUUGGGGAGCUUGGGGUUAGAUACAAACCAUUGCCUUUGGAAUGGAUUAGCAAUGAGAUCCUGCUGUGUAGCACUGAGAACUAUGUCUAGUCACUUAUGAUGGAACAGGAUAAUGUGUGAAAAUGGAAUGUGUACAUGUAUGUGUAACUGGGUCACCAUGCUAUACAGGAGAAAAAAAAUUGUAUUGGGGAAAUAACUAUUUAAAAA
rnacentral:lncRNA from 1 species